rnacentral:tRNA from 1 species
GAGGGUAUAGCUCAAGUGGUAGAGUGCAUGCUUAGCAUGCAUGAGGUCCUGGGUUCAAUCCCUGGUACCUCCU